UUGUCUCGUAGCUCAGUUGGUUAGAGCGCUCGCCUGAUAAGCGGGAGGUCGGUAGUUCAAGUCUACUCGAGACAACCAG
rnacentral:tRNA from 1 species